ACACCAUGAUGAAGCAUUUUCAGUCCAUGGACGCGUGCCGGAGCUUCUCAGAGUUCCGCCAGGAGACCAGCAUGCUCCACUCCCUACAGCACCCGUGCAUCGUGCUGCUGGUGGGAAUCAGUAUUCACCCGCUCUGCUUCGCCCUGCAGCUGGCUCCCUGGGCAGCCUCAACAUUGUGCUGGAGGACAGACAUAAAGGCUCCAGGUACAUGCCCCUGGGUCACAUGCUCACCUUCAAGGCAGCCUAUCAGAUUGCAGCGGGGCUGGCCUACCUGCACAGGAAGAACAUCAUCUUCUGUGACCUCAAGUCAGACAACAUCCUGGUGUGGUCCCUGGAGGUGUGUGACCCGGUGAAUAUCAAGCUGUCAGACUACGGCAUCUCGCGCCAGUCCUUCCACGAGGGGCACUGGGUGUGGAGGGCACGCCGGGCUACCAGGCCCCUGAGAUACGCCCAGGCAUCGUUUAUGAUGAGAAGGUGGAUAUGUUCUCGUAUGGGAUGGUUGUGUAUGAGUUGCUGUCAGGUUGUAGGCCUGCGUUGGGCCAGCACCAGCUCCAGAUAGCUAAGAAGCUGUCUAAAGGGAUCCGUCCCACCCUGGGAAACCCAGAGGAAGUCCAGUUCCACUGUCUGCAUGGCCUGAUGAUCGAGUGCUGGGACACUAAGCCUGAGAAGAGGCCCCUGGCCAUGCAGUGUGUGAGGCAGAUGCAGGAGCCCAGUUUCCCAUGUCUGAAGUACCUGCUGGCCUGUGACACACACUCCCAGCUCUUCCUGUCCCACUUGCAGGGACACAGCGCUGUGUUCUGGGACGGGGACAAGGACGACAGGUUGGUUUCUCUUCGUGUUGAUUUCAGAGGUUUUCCUGGCCCGAAAAGUCUGUGUAGACUUCCUGAGGAUCUGAGGGUCUAUUUCAGCUGCUUAUCUUGGACUACCAGAGACCACUCUCCUGUUGUCACCUGUCUGUUCCCCGUGCCCGCCAGAGACCAAGACCAGGUAACUCUCCUGGUUGUCACCUGUCUGUUCCCCGUGCCCGCCAGAGACCAGCUCUCCUGUUGUCACCUGUCUGUUCCCCGUGCCCGCCAGAGACCAGGUAACUCUCCUGUUGUCACCUGUCUGUUCCCCGUGCCCGCCAGAGACCAGCAGACCCAGGCGUGUGUCUUCAUGGGGAUGUCAGACGGUCUGGUGGCAGUGUACUCUCUAAUGGAUGACAUGCCUGUAGAAGGAGAGACCUACCUGUGUUCUCACACCCUCAAUAUGACCAUGUUUGGGAUGGAGGACUCUGACCCCAGACAGAGACCCUACCCAGUCAGGAGCAUGGUCCUGGUCCACAGUGGAUCCCAGCUGUGGUACUCCCAUGGUCCAGGCCUGCUGGUGAUCGACUGCCGGACCCUCCAGGCGGUGCAUCGUCUGGACCCCUACGACCCACCAUCCUCCAUACAGGCCCUGGCCUCCAGCCCCUGUCUGUGGGGGGAUGAGGCAGUGUGGACCCUGGACGACCACACCAACACCCUCCAGCUGUACCACGCUGCCACCUACCAGCUCUGUGCCACGUACAGCUGUGGAGACGCCAACCCUCUCCGGGACGUGUUCACUGUACAGCGACCUGCAGGGGUUACCAUGACUACUAGUCCUGACCUUGACUCAAAGAGGAAGAGUCUAGAUGAGGAGGAGGAGGAAUGUCCAAACGACAAAGUGACGCUGAUCUACAGCGAGGAGGCGGGAACUCAGAUCAUCCAGCACCAGGAUUCGCUGACGGACUACUGCUCCAUCUCCUCUGACUCCACCCCUUCGCUGGGAUUUGACCGAUCCGGUCCCUUGUCAGAGCCGCUGGGAUUGGACAGAUCCAGUUCCUGCGCGCUCAGCUCAUUGGCUAGUUCCAGCAGUAUGCCUUUUUCCACUGAGGAGGAAGAGAGGCCUCAGGACCACCCAGACGACCCUGACCCUGUGGUGAACUCUGACCCCACCACAACCUUUACCACCACCCCCCCCCACCUGCAGGCCCUCACUGUGCUGGCUGUCAAUGGAACCCUUUGGAUCCCCAGGAGUGGUGGUGACGUGAUGGUGAUCGAGGUCCAGCGGCAGACAGGACAGCUCAGGGGGCGUGUCAUCGCUGUGCUCUGCCCCCCUGGAACUUCCUCUUACGGGACCCUGGAGGAGGCCACACUGGUGGCAAAGGACACGGUUGUGUGUGGCUUUCGCAACGAAAAUAGGGCCUGGUGCCUGUGUGUCUGGCGGGGCUGGGGCCCCCGUGAGCUAGAGGUCUUCUACCAGUCCUACGAGGAGCUGGGGAGGCUGGAGACCAGCAUGAGGAAAAGAAGGUAGCCGUUGUACGGCACCGGCCGUGGUGUCCCAGGCAGAGGCUAGCAGUCACAGAAUCAUAGCUCUCUGUCUGAGAGAGAGAGAGAGAGAGAGAGAGAGAGAGAGAGAGAGAGAGAGAGAGAGAGAGAGAGAGAGAGAGAGAGAGAGAGAGAGAGAGAGAGAGAGAGAGAGAGAGAGAGAGAGAGAGAGAGAGAGAGAGAGAGAGAGAGAGAGAGAGAGAGAGAGAGAGAGAGAGUUCACAGGCCCCCAGUGUUCAGAGCAGGGGGCCGCGGAGCUCUGACAUCAGAGUGACAAGGAGGGGUGAGGGAGAUGGUGACGCAAAAGAGAGGAUAGGAGAGAUUGGUAUAUGUUGAGAGGAGUCUCAGGAAUGGGGGGGGGGGUGCCUCAUCCUGUCAUAGCUUGGGCCCAAACCCCCUGUGUGCCCCCAACACGCCCCACACUUCCCCCUCUGGAGCAUCACUAAGAUGGAUUGACUACCAGUUAAACCUGAGCCUGAAGAUAGAAGGGACUAGGGUUGCAAUUCUCCGGUAACUACCAAAGAUGCCAGGUUUUCAAGAAAUCCAGAAUCUACCAACCAGGAUUUGUGGAAAACCUGGGGAUUUUGGGAAGGUUACUGGAGUUGUGCAACCAUAAAACAGAUGGUAGGACAAAACGGGCCGUAAAGACACGUGUCCCAGAUCUACUGAACACAGAGUCUCCUCACUUCACAGGACAGUGGAACGUAACACUCAGCUGGGUUGUGUGUGUGAGAUAUAUGAGUAAACAACACCGUGAGCAGUUCUGUUUCCUCAUAAGUCAUCUCCCAACAGACCAAGGACACAGCAGAAAGGACUCACCCCUGCCCUGCAGUAUAGAGACUGGGACUGUCUCUAAACCAAUGACACUCUCCUAUACCAAUCUCUCACACUAGCUCAGAUAGACAUUAGAUGAAGGGUUCAUUAGAUUUUAAACAUUUUCUGCUGCUGGGCUAAACUCUGACUUGUGCAUUUAACAAGUAACAAAACUGUAGACAGAAGUCAGGGUUAACUAUGUGUAGGAGUUUGAUGUCCGUCAGUUUUACUUCAAGUGUUGGCGCUUGAAGUUGCCAGUACUAUAUUGUGUAUUGAGGCUGAAUCCCAAAUGGCACCCUAUUCCCUACAUAGUGCACUAUGGGCCCUGGUCAAAAGUAGUGCACUGAGUAGGGUUCCAUUUGGGACAUCCAGUGUGUUGAUACCAACAUGGGAGGGUUUGCUAACUUCACUGCUGUGUCAGUGAGAUGGUGUAAUAUGUUCAAAUCCUCUUCAGUGUAAAUAUACUGUAUUGUGUAUAUACUGUACGACCAUGAAUAAACUUCUUCUAAUAGUAGAA